GACGAACGCUGGCGGCGUGCUUAACACAUGCAAGUCGAACGGAAAGGCCCUGCUUUUGUGGGGUGCUCGAGUGGCGAACGGGUGAGUAAUACGUGAGUAACCUGCCCUUGACUUUGGGAUAACUUCAGGAAACUGGGGUUAUUACCCGUUCGGAGCUCCUGCUGCAUGGUGGGGGUUGGAAAGUUUCGGCGGUUGGGGUUGGACUCGCGGGUUAUCCGCUUGUUGGUGGGGUAGGCGUUUACCAAGGCUUUGACGGGUAGCCGACAUGAGAGGGUGAACGGCGACAAUGGGCCUAAGAGACGGCGCAGACGCGUACGGGAGGCAACGGUGGGGAAUAUUGCACAGUGGGCGGAAGCGUGAUGCGGCAGCGCCGCGUGCGGGAUGACGGCCUUCGGGUUGUAAACCGCUUUCGCCUGUGACGAAGCGUGAGUGACGGUAAUGGGUAAAGAAGCACCGGCUAACUACGUG
rnacentral:rRNA from 1 species